GGAAAAUCAUAAAUCAACAUAUAAAAUUGUCUCUGUCACGUCUGUUAGCAUGGUUUUAGGGAUUUAGGAAUAUUGUAAACUUGUGGCGUAUAAAAUUAAUUAAAGGAUGUUGUUUAUUUUAGAAAAAAAUUAACCGAUAUAUAAUUAUAGAAAAAUAUCAAAUAUAGUCUCUAUUUGGCAAUGCAUAAUUAUUAAUUCUUACGUUUUACUAUGGCGGCUGAGCUGACCAUCACAAUUUAGUGUUAAAACCUCUUCUUAAACCCAGAAGAAACCCCCUUGAGGCAAAGUUCGAAGAUAAGGAAUACAGAGAUUAAGAGACUCAGAGAAGCAGAGGUAGGUAUGGCUUCGUGGUGUCAAGCUCUUGUUCCUUUGACACUUGACUCGUGCUCUCUCUUCUCUUCUUCCACCUCUCGUCCCCUUCCUUUUUUCCAUUAUACUUCUUCCACUAACACUGGACUGGUCGUGGGCUCGGGUUUCUCUGCACCCAGUUACUCAACUAGUAUCAAAUUGACAGAGUCUUACUUAUACCCUUCAAUCAGCAAGAAAAAGGGAACAACAGACAUUUGCAGAGCUGCCGAGUACAAAUUUCCGGACCCAAUUCCCGAAUUUGCUGUUGCAGAGACAGAGAAAUUUAGGACGCAUCUCCAUAAGAAGCUCUCAAAGAAGGACAUUUAUGGAGAUUCACUUGAAGAGGUGGUCGGAAUCUGCACUGAGAUUCUCGGUAACUUCUUGCACAAAGAGUAUGGCGGUCCUGGAACUCUCUUAGUCAUACCUUUCAUUGACAUGGCUGAUACUAUAAAUGAGCGAGGUUUGCCUGGAGGACCACAAGCUGCACGUGCAGCAGUCAAAUGGGCCCAAGAUCAUGUUGACAAGGACUGGAAAGAGUGGACUGGUGGUGAUAGUAAUUGACAGAACAACUCCCUAAUCAUCAAUUUGGCUGGAGAUUCUGUUUAACUGUUGUACUGUCAGCUGAAGAAGAACAUCGAACAGUUAUGAUUCUAUUUGUGCAUCUCUGAAAGGAAGUGAUUAUUGAAAGAAAACUGAAAUUUGAGAAUUUUUUGUGGAGUGAGGGGAGAAUAUGUAUAUCUGUACUAUCAUGGGAUUGUAUAAUGUCAUCACAUUUGAUAGGGCCUUUGAUUGGAAUUUAGAAGCAGCAAGGUUAAGCUGUUCAAAUUUUGCUGGAAAUGUUCGAGAAUUUAUCCCAUAUUCUCUUGCAUCUCUAUUUCAAGCUCUUUCUAUAACUGCUAGUUAUGAGAGUAGCCUCACC
rnacentral:misc_RNA from 1 species